UACAGAGGGGGCAAGCGUUGUUCGGAAUUUCUGGGCGUAAAGGGCGCGUAGGCGGCCUUCUAAGUCGAACGUGAAAUCCCUGGGCUCAACCCAGGAACUGCGUCCGAUACUGGAAGGCUUGAAUCCGGGAGAGGGAUGCGGAAUUCCAGGUGUAGCGGUGAAAUGCGUAGAUAUCUGGAGGAACACCGGUGGCGAAGGCGGCAUCCUGGACCGGUAUUGACGCUGAGGCGCGAAAGCCAGGGGAGCAAACGGG
rnacentral:rRNA from 1 species